rnacentral:lncRNA from 1 species
AAAACAAGAACCAUACAUGGCAACGCAAACCAUUGGGAUGCUCUUAUUUAACGAUAAUCACAGCAGGAAACAAGCACAGGCGAAAUAAAUCACUACUUUUGAAAUAUCAGUUUGCCAAAAGAAGCACAAAUUCAGUUGUUACAACCAAAGAGGCAACAGAGCAUCGGCAAUCAUCCAUCAAUCAACUCCCCAUCCCGCACUAACAGCACUUGUAGUUCCAGAUAACCAGAGUCGACAAGCACAAAGUAAAGUAACAGAACCAGCUAAUACUAGAUAGAUACAGGCAAUGCAGAUGCAAUUGCAAUCUAGGAGGAGGUGAACUUGGUGACGGCCUUGGUGCCCUCGGAGACGGCGUGCUUGGCGAGCUCCCCGGGGAGGACGAGGCGGACGGAGGUCUGGAUCUCCCGGGAGGUGAUGGUGGGCUUCUUGUUGUAGCGCGCGAGCUUGGCGGCCUCGGCGG